GAUGGUGACCUGCGGAGGAUCAUUACCGAGUGCGGGAACCCAGUCGGGUCCCAAUCUCCCACCCGUGUCUACCACACCUAGUGUUGCUUUGGCGGGCCCACUCCUCCGGUGUUCCGCCGGGGGGGUCGUCCCGGGGCGCGGUGUGCCCCCGGGGCCCGUGCCCGCCAGAGGCACUCACUGUGAACGCUUUUGUGAAUGCGAGGAUUGUCUGAGUGACGAAAUGCAAUCGUUCAAAACUUUCAACAAUGGAUCUCUUGGUUCCGGCAUCGAUGAAGAACGCAGCGAAAUGCGAUAAGUAAUGUGAAUUGCAGAAUUCCGUGAAUCAUCGAAUCUUUGAACGCACAUUGCGCCCUCUGGUAUUCCGGGGGGCAUGCCUGUCCGAGCGUCAUUGCGAACCCUCAAGCACGGCUUGUGUGUUGGGCCGCCGUCCCCUCGUUUGGAGGGGACGGGCCUGAAAGGCAGCGGCGGCGUCGCGUCCGGUCCUCGAGCGUAUGGGGCUCUGUCACGCGCUCAAGGAGGGGUCCGGCCGGGGCCAUAGCCUCUGAAGGUCAAUUCUUCCAAGGUUGACCUCGGAUCAGGUAGGAGUACCCGCUGAACUUAAGCAUAUCAAUA
rnacentral:rRNA from 1 species